GAUGAACGCUAGCGGCAGGCCUAACACAUGCAAGUCGAGGGGUAGCAGGAUUAAGCUUGCUUAAUUGCUGACGACCGGCGCACGGGUGCGUAACGCGUAUGCAACCUACCUUAUACUGGGGUAUAGCCCGGAGAAAUUCGGAUUAAUCCCCCAUAGUACUAAUGAAUCGCAUGGUUUAUUAGUUAAAGCAUUGCGGUAUAAGAUGGGCAUGCGUCCUAUUAGCUAGAUGGUGAGGUAACGGCUCACCAUGGCUACGAUAGGUAGGGGGCCUGAGAGGGUGGUCCCCCACACUGGUACUGAAGCACGGACCAGACUCCUACGGGAGGCAGCAGUGAGGAAUAUUGGUCAAUGGGCGCAAGCCUGAACCAGCCAUGCCGCGUGCAGGAAGAAUGCCCUAUGGGUUGUAAACUGCUUUUAUUUGGGAAUAAACCUCUUUACGUGUAGAGAGCUGAAGGUACCAAAUGAAUAAGCACCGGCUAACUCCGUGCCAGCCGCCGCGGUAA
rnacentral:rRNA from 1 species